GACUAACUACGAUAAGCUUUGGUGAGCGGUAAGUACGCUAUGACCCAAAGAUUUCCGAAUGGGGAAACCCAACUCGUAAGAGUUGUCUGUAUCUGAAUACAUAGGAUAUUUGACGGAAUACGCUGUGAACUGAAACAUCUCAUUAGCAGCAGGAGCAGAAAGAAAAAUCGAUUCCCUAAGUAGCGGCGAGCGAACGGGGAAGAGCCCAAACCAACGUGCUUGCAUGUUGGGGUUGUAGGACUGAUAUAUAAGAGUUACAAAAGUGUUUUAUAGCAGAACAAGUUGGGAAACUUGGCUAUAGAGGGUGAUAGCCCCGUAAGCGAAAUGAAGCACACUCUUUUCAGGAUCCUGAGUACGGCCGGACACGUGAAAUCCGGUCGGAAUCUGCGGGGACCAUCCCGUAAGGCUAAAUACUCCCUAGUGACCGAUAGUGAACCAGUACCGUGAGGGAAAGGUGAAAAGCACCCCGGAAGGGGAGUGAAAUAGUUCCUGAAACCACGACGCCUACAAGAAGUCAGAGCCCGUUAAUGGGUGAUGGCGUGCCUUUUGUAGAAUGAACCGGCGAGUUACGGUAUCGUGCGAGGUUAAGGUGGAAAGACCGGAGCCGCAGCGAAAGCGAGUGUGAAUAGCGCGAAUAGUACGAUGCUGUAGACCCGAAACCAAGUGACCUACCCAUGGUCAGGAUGAAGGUGAGGUAAAACUUACUGGAGGUCCGAACCGGUGCAUGUUAAAAAAUGCUCGGAUGAACUGUGGGUAGCGGUGAAAUUCCAAACGAACUUGGAGAUAGCUGGUUCUCUCCGAAAUAGCUUUAGGGCUAGCCUCAUUAUAAGCAUACUGGAGGUAGAGCACUGUUAAGCCUAGGGGCCCAUCUCGGGUUACCAAAGUUUGAUAAACUCCGAAUGCCAGAUAUGUAUGAAUGGGAGUCAGACGAUGAGUGAUAAGAUCCACCGUCGAAAGGGGAACAGCCCAGAUCGCCAGUUAAGGUCCCUAAAUAUAUGUUAAGUGGAAAACGAUGUGAUAGUGCAUAGACAACUAGGAUGUUGGCUUAGAAGCAGCCACCAUUUAAAGAGUGCGUAAUAGCUCACUAGUCGAGUGCCAUUGCGCGGAAAAUGUACCGGGGCUAAACAUAUUACCGAAACUGCGGGUGCACGUAAGUGCGCGAUAGGAGAGCGUUGUAAGGGCGACGAAGGUAGAUCGUAAGGACUGCUGGAGCGCUUACAAGUGAGAAUGCCGGUAUGAGUAGCGAAAGACAGGUGAGAAUCCUGUCCACCGAAUGACUAAGGUUUCCUGGGGAAGGCUCGUCCACCCAGGGUUAGUCGGGACCUAAGGCGAGGCUGAGAAGCGUAGUCGAUGGAUAACAGGUUGAGAUUCCUGUACCAGUUGUAAUGCGUUAUUACCGAUGGAGGGACGCAGGAGGCUACCAGAUGCGCACUGAUGGAUAUGUGCGUGCAAGCAGUAAGUCUUGAAAAGAGUGAAAUGCUUUUUUCUAUAAGGACAAGCUGUGAUGCGGAUCGAAAUAAAGUAGAGAAGUCUGAGACGUCACACUGCCGAGAAAAGCUUCUAGGAAGUAUUACACUGCCCGUACCGCAAACCGACACAGGUAGUCGAGUGGAGAACACUAAGGUGAGCGAGAGAACCCUCGUUAAGGAACUCGGCAAAAUGACCCCGUAACUUCGGGAGAAGGGGUGCUCAUGGUAAAACAUGAGCCGCAGUGAAUAGGCCCAGGCGACUGUUUAUCAAAAACACAGGUUUCUGCAAAAUCGUAAGAUGAAGUAUAGGGGCUGACGCCUGCCCGGUGCUGGAAGGUUAAAAGGAGUGCUUAGUUUCGGCGAAGGUACGAAUUGAAGCCCCAGUAAACGGCGGCCGUAACUAUAACGGUCCUAAGGUAGCGAAAUUCCUUGUCGGGUAAGUUCCGACCCGCACGAAAGGCGUAACGAUCUGGGCACUGUCUCAACGAGGGACUCGGUGAAAUUUAAAUACCCGUGAAGAUGCGGGUUACCCGCGACAGGACGGAAAGACCCCAUGGAGCUUUACUGUAGCUUGAUAUUGAAUGUUUGUGCUGCUUGUACAGAAUAGGUAGGAGACGUAGAAGAUUGGACGCUAGUCUAGUCGGAGUCGCACGGUGGGAUACUACCCUCGUUGUAUGAACAUUCUAACACUGGUCACUCAACGUGAUCGUGGACAGUGUCUGGCGGGCAGUUUGACUGGGGCGGUCGCCUCCUAAAAGGUAACGGAGGCG
rnacentral:rRNA from 1 species